CCUACGGGAGGCAGCAGUAGGGAAUCUUCCACAAUGGACGAAAGUCUGAUGGAGCAACGCCGCGUGAGUGAAGAAGGGUUUCGGCUCGUAAAGCUCUGUUGGUAGUGAAGAAAGAUAGAGCUAGUAACUGUCCCUUAUUUGACGGUAAUUACUUAGAAAGUCACGGCUAACUCCGUGCCAGCAGCCGCGGUAAUACGUCGGUGGCAAGCGUUGUCCGGUUUUAUUGGGCGUAAAGCGAGUGCAGGCGGUUCAAUAAGUCUGAUGUGAAAGCCUUCGGCUCAACCGGAGAAUUGCAUCAGAAACUGUUGGACUUGAGUGCAGAAGAGGAGGGUGGAACUCCAUGUGUAGCGGUGGAAUGCGUAGAUAUAUGGAAGAACACCGAUGGCGAAGGCGGCUCGCUGGACUGCAACUGACGCUGAGGCUCGAAAGCAUGGGUAGCGAACAGGAUUAGAUACCCUGGUAGUC
rnacentral:rRNA from 1 species